GGAUGUGAGGUCGAUCUGGCUGCGACAUCUGUUGCCCUAUUGAUUGCCAGGGUUGAUUUGGCUGAUCUGGCUGGCCAGGCCGGUGUCCCCUUCCUCCCUCACUGCUCCAUAUGUGUUCCUCCCAAAGCUGUGUGCUGGUUCGAAGAAGACAGCCUUCCCCAAAUAGAGACAGACGUUCCCUGAAUAGAAACUGGCCGGUCUUUGGUAGAGGGUAUACUAGUAGCUACAUUCUGCUGCUAGAACCUCCAAACAAGCUCUCAAGAAGUUAUGGAAUACUACUCUUUAAUUGAAAUAAUAAAAAGAAAAAAAAAGGUGUGAGCAUAAAGGUUGUUGGUGGCAGUACAGAAGGGUGCAUGCAGGU
rfam:Erinaceus europaeus unplaced genomic scaffold scaffold00567, whole genome shotgun sequence